rnacentral:rRNA from 1 species
UACGUAGGUGGCAAGCGAUACUCGGAAUCACUAGGCGUAAAGCGCAGGUAGGCGGUUGGAUAAGUUUCUUGUGAAAGCUCCCGGCUUAACUGGGAGAGGUCAAGGAAUACUGUCUGACUUGGGUGUGGUAGGGGUAACUGGAAUUCUCGGUGUAGCGGUGAAAUGCGUAGAUAUCGGGAGGAAUACCUAUGGCGAAAGCAGGUUACUGGGCCAUCACUGACGCUGAGCUGCGAAAGCUAGGGGAGCAAACAGG